CGAGUCAUUGGGCAGUGCGAAACCCAAAGGCGCAGUGAAAGCGAGGGUCCGCUCGUCGGACCCAGGUGGGAUCCUUCUGCCCCCGCUCGCGCGGGGUGUCNAAGGAGGCGCACCACCGGCCCGUCCCGACUGCGUCGGCAGUGGGGCGGAGCAGGAGCGUGCACGCUGGGACCCGAAAGAUGGUGAACUAUGCCUGAGCAGAAGGAAGCCAGAGGAAACUCUGGUGGAAGUUCGUAGCGAUUCUGACGUGCAAAUCGAUCGUCAAACUUGGGUAUAGGG
rnacentral:rRNA from 1 species